rnacentral:lncRNA from 1 species
GAAUCCACAAAUAGUUAAUUCCACUACGCGAUUGAAUGAUUUUGACGUUUAUGGUUCAACGUAUUUUGUAAUUCAUAAUAGAAAUAUAUCAUAAUGACAUAAAAUAGAACAAUAUCAUACUGACAGGAUCUUUUAAAGUACAGAGUCACGUUAUAAGAACCAAAGAAAUACAAAAAGUCGCAUAUACAAAACACGCCACCAAAAAAUGAAAGACAAUACAAACACAUUGACGAGAUGUAUAAGUACAGAGCCAC